rnacentral:rRNA from 1 species
UUUAUUAGAUACAGAACCAACCCGGGGUCCGCCUCGGUCCGUUGGUGAUUCAUAAUAACCUAGCGAAUCGCAUGCUUCGGCGGCGAUGUAUCUUUCAAGUUUCUGACCUAUCAGCUAUCGACGGUAGGGUAUUGGCCUACCGKGGCAUUGACGGGUAACGGARAAUUAGGGUUCGAUUCCGGAGAGGGAGCCUGARAAACGGCUACCACAUCUARGGAUGGCAGCRGGCGCGCAAAUUACCCAAUCCUGACACRGGGRGGUAGUGACAAGAAAUAACAAUACAGGGCAACACUGUCUUGUAAUUGGAAUGAGUAAAUUUUAAAUCCCUUUACGAGUAUCAAUUGGAGGGCAAGUCUGGUGCCAGCAGCCGCGGUAAUUCCAGCUCCAAUAGCGUAUAUUAAAGUUGUUGCGGUUAAAAAGCUCGUAGUUGGAUUUCUGCUGAGGACGACCGGUCCGCCUUCUAGGUGUGCACCAGGUUCGACCAAAGCAUCCUUUUGGAGUACGCUGCCGCUCUUCAUUGAGCGGCGCGAACUUCAAAACUUUUACUUUGAGGAAAUUAGAGUGUUUCAAGCAGGC